UGAAUACGAGACGCUAAGGCGUCGAAGUAGUGUAUGUCAUACUUCCAAGAAAAGCUUGCACUGUCAUAGAUAAAAAACGCCUGUACCAUAACCGACACAGGUGGGUAGGUAGAGUAUACUAAGGGGCGCGAGAUAACUCUCUCUAAGGAACUCGGCAAAAUAGCUCCGUAACUUCGGGAGAAGGAGUGCCUUAUUUAUAAGGCUGCAAUAACAAGAUCCAAGCAACUGUUUAUCAAAAACACAGGUCUCCGCUAAGUCGUAAGACGAUGUAUGGGGGCUGACGCCUGCCCAGUGCCAGAAGGUUAAAGAAGUUGGUUAGCUUUUGCGAAGCUGAUAACUGAAGCCCUGGUGAACGGCGGCCGUAACUAUAACGGUCCAAAGGUAGCGAAAUUCCUUGUCGGGUAAGUUCCGACCCGCACGAAAGGCGUAAUGAUUUGGAUACUGUCUCGGAGAGGGGCUCGGUGAAAUAGACUUGUCUGUGAAGAUGCGGACUACCUGCACCAGGACAGAAAGACCCUAUGAAGCUUUACUGUAACUUGAAAUUGAAAUUGGACUUUAUUCGCGCAGCAUAGGUGGGAGGCGUUGAUUAUAAUCUCGUGGGAUUAUUGGAGCCAUCAGUGAGAUACCACUCUUGUAAUGUUAGAUUUCUAACUUUGAAUCAUUAUCUGGUCAAAGAACAGUUUCAGGCGGGCAGUUUGACUGGGGCGGUCGCCUCCUAAACGGUAACGGAGGCGUACAAAGGUUUCCUCUGAACGGUUAGAAAUCGUAUCUAGAGUGUAAAGGCAUAAGGAAGCUUGACUGUGAGACCUACAAGUCGAGCAGGGACGAAAGUCGGUCUUAGUGAUCUGACGGUACUGAGUGGAAAGGCCGUCACUCAACGGAUAAAAGUUACUCUAAGGAUAACAGGCUGAUCUCCCCCAAGAGUUCACAUCGACGGGGAGGUUUGGCACCUCGAUGUCGGCUCAUCGCAUCCUGGGGCGGUAGUACGUCCCAAGGGUUGGGCUGUUCGCCCAUGAAAGCGGUACGCGAGCUGGGUUCAGAACGUCGUGAGACAGUUCGGUCCAUAUCCGGUGUAGGCGUUAGAAUAUUGAGAGGAGCCUUCUUUAGUACGAGAGGACCGAGAAGGACAUACCUCUGGUGUACCAGUUAUCGUGCCAACGGUAAACGCUGGGUAGCUAUGUAUGGAGUGGAUAACCGCUGAAAGCAUCUAAGUGGGAAGCCCACCUCAAGAUAAGUAUUCUCAU
rnacentral:rRNA from 1 species